rnacentral:siRNA from 1 species
GAUGCCAGAAGCAGGAUGUGGUCG